ACGAACGCUGGCGGCGUGCUUAACCCAUGCAAGUCGAACGGAAAGGCCCUGCUUUUGUGGGGUGCUCGAGUGGCGAACGGGUGAGUAACACGUGAGUAACCUGCCCUUGACUUUGGGAUAACUUCAGGAAACUGGGGCUAAUACCGGAUAGGAGCUCCUGCUGCAUGGUGGGGGUUGGAAAGUUUCGGCGGUUGGGGAUGGACUCGCAGCUUAUCAGCUUGUUGGUGGGGUAGUGGCUUACCAAGGCUUUGACGGGUAGCCGGCCUGAGAGGGUGACCGGCCACAUUGGGACUGAGAUACGGCCCAGACUCCUACGGGAGGCAGCAGUGGGGAAUAUUGCACAAUGGGCGGAAGCCUGAUGCAGCAACGCCGCGUGCGGGAUGACGGCCUUCGGGUUGUAAACCGCUUUCGCCUGUGACGAAGCGUGAGUGACGGUAAUGGGUAAAGAAGCACCAGCUAACUACGUG
rnacentral:rRNA from 1 species